AGAUUGAAUCCACAUCCUCAUGGAUAAUAGUCCCAUUUGCUACCACUGAGCUACAACAGGAACUCCCCAAAUGAUAUAAUUUGAUAUAUGUGAUUGAUACAAAGACAUUCGUGUUACCCGUAACACGCUGCUAUUCUCUGUCAGGCUAUCUGCUUCCACCUGACAUAAGAAAAUGAAUGACUCAAACAAACUUUUUGUAUUUGAAGUAGCAACUUAAGCUGUUGAGAAACUUGUUCAGCAUAAAGUGGGAGAUGCUCAAAGAUCCCCAGCUUUUUUUUUUUUUUUGAGACAACAUAUCUCACUGAGAUCUUUCCCAAGUGUGCUAGGGUUGUGGAGACAUCUGGAAACUGCCAAAGAGCAGGACUGAAACAGAGCUCAUGUCUAUAACAUCCUACUGGAAAGUGAAGGGAAAGUAAAGGAGUUGCUGGAAUUUCAAACUAUUUGGCUGCUAGCCAUAUCCCACAACACUGCCCACAGCAAAGAUGAGGCAAGCAGCUGCUUCCAGGAAGUUCCCUAGUUUAACUUGAAAUGUACAGAAGAAGAAAUACAAGCAUUCACUAACCGUAUGAAUUAUCAUCGGUGAUCAAAGAGCUACACAUCAAAACAAUGAGAUAUCUUUUCUUGCCCAUCAGUUUAAAAACGGGGGGAAAAGUGAUAAUGCAAUCCACAAUCCAUAUUGUGAACUUCAAAAUCUGUUAAGAAGGAAACGUAUACAACGCUAUAUGUCAAUCAUAUCUCAGAAAAGCUGGAAAACAAUUUUAAGACGGUAGAUCUCAUGUUAACCAUUCUAACCAAAGGGACACGGGGGCAUUCUGGGAGGUGUUAGGUGUUUGUUCCCUUGUGGUGAUCUUUGCAUACGUCCACACUCAUCACAUUUUGCACGUCACAUCAAGUAUAUGCUGUUCUUUGUAUAGCAAUGAUACCUCAAUAAAGCUGUUUAAAAUAUAUAUAUAUUAUAAUGUCUUGAGUUAGAAGGUGUAGAGAAAGGAGUACACUCAUCUUGAGAGAGGCUGGGACUGGGGACCCUUUACUGCAGGACUCGCACCUGGACAAACGUCUCCUUGAGCAACAGAAUACAAAGGAAGUGUAGGGGACUAAAAAUAACCGUGUGAAUGCCCAGUCUGAGCCAUUAUGAACAAUAAGAUACAAAAAGACCACAAACCAGAGUUCUUUGUGGCACAGCAGGUUAAGGAUCCUCAACAUUGUCACUGAAGCAGCUGGGGUCACUGCUGUGGUACAGUUUCCAUCCCUGGCCUGGGUGCAGCCAAAAAAAGAAAAGGCCACAGACCAACAACCACUUCUGAGGUUCGGGGAGCAAAAAGCAGGGUACUGCCCGUGAUCCCUGCACACAACACCACCAAGGCCACAGGCUGACCACCCAAGCCACCCCUCCAGCUCCACCCACCAUUCCGCCCCCACACUCACCCCAUUUAAGAAACCAGCCCGACCUCGGAGAGCUAGCCAGGGCACCUGUUUCUUGUUUUUGCUCAUUGGUGCUGAGCACGAGCACCCAUAAAGCCUUGCGUGAAAUUCUCGUCUGGCUCUUAUCAAUUCCUGUUGCUUAAGGAAUCCAGGGACCCAGGUUGGUGAUAAUACAGGGUUAGUGGGAGUAUCAACUGAUACAGUUGAUUUACAUUGUUGUGUGAUAAAAUCUUUCGAAAGCCUUGAAGAACGAGUACUCUGGGAUCAUCAAUUCUCCUUUUGGGAGUUUAUCUUAAAUAACCUGAGCUGAAGCCCGCUGGAUCUAACAGACGUUUGCAUAUCAGCAAGUACACGCACAUGAAAACAUGUGCCCUGGAAUUAACCAAAGAAACUUUGGCCACAGUUCUCUCCCUCCAAGAGAAAGCGAAGUGACGCAUACCUCAUGCCACUUCAUUAUGUCAGAGGUCUUCUCCCCCCCUUCUCCAACUGCAGGAAGGUUUCCGAAUUCACUGCCAGAGAUGCUGCAAAUCCUUACACACAGUAGGUGUUCAGUCAAUGUUUGCUAAAUAAAUAAAAAUACCAAAUUAUGACAUAUAUGACCUGUUUUCCAGAGGACUGGAAAUGAU